UUUACGGCUCUGCGCGACACUUCCCAGGAGUCGCUGCCGCACGAGCCGAGCGCCGCUCCCGUCCAUCUCGCUGCUUUUACUGCUCUGCUCGACGUUUCCCCGGUGUUUCUGGUGUGAGAGGCCGGCCAACGCUUGGCGCCCCGGGGAGUGGGCCGGCCCGGAAAGGCGUUUCCACCAUAACUACCUGGGACUGUGCGGCCCCGCUUGGUUGCCGCAUCCUGAGAGUAGGCUUGGUGCUGUCGGGCCUGUAGGUACCGGCCUCGGUGUCGGAGUCACUGGGCCGGCACUGCACCCGCAGUUCCCCGCGGUUUGGGCGCUUCCUUUGGGGUUGGCGGGAAAAUUCAGCCUCUGUGGGCUAAGGAUUCUGGGGCACAAACCCGUCAGAUCCUCAGGGCGGUGUGAGUCGUUCCUGACUGCACCCAGAGGACGCUAAAAGCGGGGGCUUCCCGCAUCCUGGGCCGGGCGCCCGGGUGGGAGCCUCGGGACUGCGAGCGGGCCAUGGCAAAUCACAAGCAGGCAGAGAGAGAGAGGAGGAAGCAGGCUCCCUGCUGAGCAGAGAGCCCGAUGCGGGACUCGAUCCCAGGACCCUGAGAUCACGACCCGAGCCGAAGGCAGUGGCUUAGCCCACUGAGCCACCCAGGCGCCCCCCGAAUUUUGGGUUUAAUUGACAUUCUCUGAUGACUAAUAAGCACCUUCUCGUGUGUUUAUUGGAAAAAAUAUAUCAUUUGUAAAGUGA